rnacentral:tRNA from 1 species
GCUUUGAGAAGCUAAUAAGCAUCGGUCUUGUAAACCGAAGAUAAGACGAACCUCUCCAAAGCU